UUUCCAGCAUAGCCCGAGGUGACUCUGCGCAGCAGCAGAAGACAGUAGCACUCUUGUCUCCCUGGCUGUGCCUGAGCAUAAAGGAAUCAGAGGCUGACUGCACAUGACUCGAGGAGGCCGAGGGCCAGCAAGACUCGAUUCAUUCUGUUUACAUCUGUGUGGGCGAACUGACAGCAGACAGCAGCCAAGCAGGCACAAUCAAUAAGGAAUAUUCUGUUUUCAAUGGACUUCAAGGGAAACUGUACAACUAUGUCUCUGAGACCGAGGAGAAAACAACCCCUUAAAAUGGAUCACUUAUAAAAGCAUAAGGUCCAGAAUAUUACAGGAGAGGUUGAGUGAGUACUUAUUCCAGAUUUCAGCACUGCUGUUGAGUUUCUCAACUGUAUCUCAGCUACAUAAUUCUACAUCAUUAUUUUGACUCAACAGUUACCAUUUCCGUCCAAGGGCUACUGAACCGGCUGAUAAGAAGACACGUGUUCAUGUUUUCACAAGGAAGAUCUGGCACAUAGUAUCUGCAUCGCAAGAGUCAGUUUUUUAUUAAUUCAGUACUGUAAUGCAGGAAUAAAAACUACGUACCACAUUCACUGUGACUUGCUAAAACUUGCCUUUUCUUUUUAAUAACGCCCAUGCCAUAUACUCUGAGUAAAUCGUAGAACUCUUUCUUACUUCUUUAUGACAACACUUCAGUAUCCUCCCUAAUGCAACCUCCUGAACAGCCUCUA